rnacentral:lncRNA from 1 species
UGACUUCUGUUUUAAUUUUUAGCUUGUUUGCUAUUGAAUUGAGGUCACUGUGAAUCUUUUGUAGUAACUCCUUAUUGGAUUUAUUGCUUUCAAAUUACUUUUUACAAUCAGUUGGUGGUCUCUACCCAUUGUUGUUUUUCCUCUUGAUUUUAUUUUUAAAUCUGUUUUACUACUUUAGAAUCUGCAUAGGAAGAGAUUAUAUGGAGUAAUUUGUUAGUUUGACAAAAUUAUUUGCUUGUCAUCUUUCAAAGGAAUAGGUUGGCUGUAUGUUCACUUCAGUUAUUAGACACACACACACACACACACACACACACACCCCUCAGCUAUGAAGACUGACCUCCUCCUAUGGAUAAUAGUUAAAAUUUUCAUAAAAUAUGCUAUAAUCAUCUAAGUAAUGAAAGAAUAUCUAUAUCAAUUUGAUAGCUAGUCAGGUUGGGCAAAGGUUUAAGAAUAUAGACACAGAGUCCAAGGUUAAAAAUGAAUCUAUUAAAGGUCUAUUCUCUUCAAAUAGACCUUAGAACACUACCUAUAAAAAAUGUCAAAUGGACUAUCACUUCAGAAUUCUUAUAAUGAUUGAACUCACCAUAGCAUCUGAAUUACAUAUAGCAUUUUUAAGACAUAAACACUGCACUUGUCAUCUUAACUGGUAACUUUCUUUAUGAAGAGGAUAAACCCCUACGCAAGAGAUGCUAAGGAAAAAGACUUACUACGGUGGUCCUGUGUAGAUCAUUCCAUCUUUUUCAUAUUUCUUCCUCAAUAUGUGCCAACUCUCUCUCUUUUACCAGUCUAGACUUCAUACUUACCUGAAUCUGAGUAUAUGCUUUUUUUGGGAAAGCUGAUGUUUUAUGAAUUAUGUGGAAAUUUUAGCCAUUGUUUCUGGAACUGCUAAAUGUCCAUUUGAGUUCUAUAGAUGAUGAAUUCAUUCCCUUUUUAAGUUCCUGUUCCUGAAUCUACUGUCCUAACUGGAGCUCCAGUCGUCACUCUUGAGUUAUUAAUAGUGACACCUGAUUCAGGCUCCAGCCUUAUCCUCGUUUAAGACCAUCAAUUACGUUACAAGCAGUGUGGUUUCUUUCAAAUAUAAAUCUAUGUCAGUCUCUGCAGAAAUAAAACUGAAAUUCAUUCUCAUGAAGAAAAGAAGCCUUCCCAGACUUAUCUCACUCCUCUGACAACUCAGUUAACUUCUGUUUUCAUUCUAUUCUUUGGAGCCUAGUAACCUUGGUAAGAAUGGUGUUUCUGCCAGUCUCUCAAAUUGCCUUAUGUUUUGGGACAUUCUUACUCUCUGAUCAUUUUAUAUCUCUCAUGCUUAUGAAUUUCCUGUGUAUUCUAGAAAUAAUAAUGAUAAAGCGUCACCAAUCACUUUUGAUGGAAAUCUGGAAGCACUCUUGUCUGAUGCUUUAUUGAAGUAACCCUCAUCUAUAAGUAUUUGAUGAAUCUCAGAUGAUUUAUUAUUAUGUUUAAUCCCUUAUAUCCUUGAGAAUAUGUACAAAGUAAGUGAAACAGCAUGGAAUUUGGACUUGAAUAUGGAUUGUAGAAUGGCAAACACAUCCAUCUUGAAUUCAGAUAAUGGACUUAGAGUAAUGAAGGGCUUAUGCUAUGAAAUGAAAACUAAAGUCACAGGCUCCAAUUGCUCAGCACCUUGUCAGCCACAGUUGCAGUGUAAAUAUGUGCUGUAGACUUUCACCAAAUGGUCUGGUUUCUUAGAACAAGUUAUGACCACCUCCACAAAUUAUGUCACUUUUGUAGUGAAAUGUUCUUUUUGCAUAAACUAGAAGCUACUAAGAUAAAAGCUACUAAUCUGAAAGAUGUUUUAAUUAAUAUUACAAAAUUACUUGGAUAUCCAUUUUGUCCAUUACCUUACACAUCUAAACCAAAACUGUGAAGGCAUGUGGGCACAGCAGGAGUAUCAAACGCAGCUGAUAUAAAAGUUGAUAGAAUUCCUUGGUCUUACAUAGUCUGGUUCUUAAAUGAUGACUAUUUUUUUCUUUUUUUAUAGAGUUAUAUUUUUUUAAAAAAUGUGUGUAAAUUAGAUUACUUAUUAAAAGCUAUUUUUUCCAGUGUAAGAAAUGUUGU